CUAGUACUUCCUCCGUUCGGAAAUACUUGUCGGAGAAAUGCAUAAAAAUGGAUGUAUCUAAAACUAAAAUCCAUCUAGAUACAUCCAUUCCUCCGACAAGUAUUCCGGACGGAGGAAGUAUAUA
rfam:Triticum aestivum genome assembly, contig: Triticum_aestivum_CS42_TGACv1_scaffold_470862_6AL